AGGACGAGCGCUGGCGGCGUGCUUAACACAUGCAAGUCGAGCGGAAAGGCCUUUCGGGGUACUCGAGCGGCGAACGGGUGAGUAACACGUGAGUAAUCUGCCCAUCGCUUCAGGAUAGCCAUCGGAAACGGUGAUUAAUACUGGAUAUGACAUUCCUUCGCAUGUUGGGGUGUGGAAAGUUUUUUCGGCGGUGGAUGUGCUCGCGGCCUAUCAGCUUGUUGGUGGGGUAAUGGCCUACCAAGGCUUUGACGGGUAGCCGG
rnacentral:rRNA from 1 species